UGCGUAGGCGGCGAUAUAAGUCAGUGGUGAAAUCCUACAGCUCAACUGUAGAUGUGCCAUUGAAACUGUAUUGCUUGAGUACAGAUGAGGUAGGCGGAAUUUAUGGUGUAGCGGUGAAAUGCAUAGAUACCAUAAAGAACACCGAUAGCGAAGGCAGCUUACUAGGCUGUAACUGACGCUGAGGCACGAAAGCGUGGGGAGCGAACAGGAUUAGAUACCCUGGUAGUCC
rnacentral:rRNA from 1 species